ACCUCAGAUCCGCGCGCUCUGUCAGGUAACGCAGCAAACACCGUCCACGACUAACCUAAGAGCACAAACAAGGAUAAAUAAAGCCGUUGCUUUGGUCUAAUUCGGUUUUCGCGAUACCAGACGACAGGUCGGCGUCUGGACUCGCAAGUUUCUACGCUGUGAACUGUCAAGUGGUUUUUGGUUUGCUAAAUUUCAGAGUAAAUCUGCGCGGUGGGUCGCAUCUUUUGGAGAGAGGACGAUGUUCUUCAUAUCUGAGAGUGACGGGAGCGCGCGAAUCGCCGUCGCUCGCGGGGAAUGACGCUUCAGACUUUGACCAAGUGUUAUCAAGUUAAUUACCUGAUGGACUAAAUGAAGAAUGCCGCACGUUUGGGAGUUCAUUCUGAUUCUCAACCUUAAUGUCAUCUUUGUAGAAGCACAGCCAGUGUCAUCAAAGCUGCACGAUGGUUGGUGGGCAUACAAAGAUGUUGUCCAGGGGAGCUUUAUACCAGUGCCAUCUUUCUGGGGACUAGUUAACACUGCCUGGAACCUGUGCGCGAUUGGGAAGAGACAGUCACCGGUCAACAUCGAAACCAGUCGAAUGAUUUUUGACCCCUUCCUCAAUCCGCUACGGCUCAAUGCAGGGCAACGUAAGGUCAGUGGAACGAUGUAUAACACGGGCCGACAUGUGUCCCUGCGCCCAGACAAGUCACACCUGGUGAACAUCUCUGGCGGGCCGCUGAGCUACAGCUACAGGCUGGAAGAGAUCCGGCUUCACUUUGGCGCAGAGGACAGUCGGGGCUCCGAGCACCUGCUCAACGGCCAGGCCUUCCCUGGAGAGGUGCAGCUCAUCCAUUAUAAUCAGGAUUUGUAUUUAAAUUACAGUGAUGCCGUCCGGAGUCCUAAUGGAAUAGCAGUUGUUUCUAUCUUCAUGAAGAUUUCAGAGCCUACCAAUGUAUUUCUAAACCGCAUGCUGAGCAGAGAGACCAUAACGAGGAUUACAUAUAAACAUGAUGCAUACUUACUGAUGGGGCUCGAUAUUGAGGAGCUGUAUCCUGAAACCUCCCGUUUUAUUACAUAUGAAGGGUCCAUAACUAUUCCACCGUGCCUUGAGACAGCAACCUGGAUAUUAAUGAAUAAGCCAAUUUACAUCUCACAGAUAGAGAUGCAGUCCCUUCGUCUCCUCAGCCAAAACCAGCCCUCUCAGAUCUUCCUCAGUAUGGGUGACAACAUGCGGCCGACGCAGCCACUGCACCAGCGCUGCAUUCGCACCAACAUCAACUUCAGUCAGAGACGGGACUGUCCUAACAACCGUGUGCUGAGGCCCCAAUACAGAGUGAAUGAAUGGCUUCUGAAAUAACAGCUUGACGUGGAUUAGUUACUAUAACAAUCUGGGAACAACUGAAGAAUAUGGCCAACAGACAGGAAAAUGGGAUACAUACAAUGAGAUGAAGAAAACGGACUUAACAGAGGAAUCUUCAAUUAAAAAAUAAUAUAUAUAUAUAAAUACUUUUAUACUUGUUUAUAUGUUUCUAACAACAUAUAUCAAAGACAUGUAUUCAAUCAGACAGUACUGGUUCUCAGUGACACUGGGUCUUGAAGUACUGUCUGCUCUCAUUCUUUGCAUCUGAACAGCAGGUGCAAUCAAGCCUUGUUGCAGCGAAUGGGAAAACUACCUUUGCUCUAUGCACAGGGAUUUAAACUUUACUUUGACACGAGGCAAACGAAAGGAUUUCAAGCCUAUAAUCUUGGACUAUUCGGAGCAUGUUGCCUUCUCUACGUCUGUGGAUGAUGCUGUCAUCAUGGGACUGCAUUUCAUCCUGCGGCAUCUGGACAAAUCAGGGACUUAUGCAAGAAUCCUGUUUGUGGACUUCAGCUCCGCUUUCAACACCAUCAUCCCAGAUACCCUUCAAAAUAAACUGACCCAGCUCUCUGUACCCACCUCCAUCUGUCAGUGGAUCACCAGCUUCCUGACAGACAGGCAGCAGCACCCGCACCAUCAGCACUGGAGCUCCUCAGGGGUGUGUGCUCUCCCCACUGCUAUUCUCCCUCUACACAAAUGACUGCACAUCUAAAGACCCCUCUGUCAAACUCCUGAAGUUUGCGGACGACACUACAGUCACCAGCCUCAUCCAGGAUGGCGACGAGUGCUUACAGACAGGAGGUUGAGCAGCUGGCUGUCUGGUGCAGUCUUAACAACCUGGAGCUCAACACGCUCAAAACUGUGGAGACUUCAGGAGAAACUCCCCCCACUCACCAUCAUGAACAGCACUGUGGCUGCAGUGGAGUCAUCUCCCAGGACCUGAAGUGGGACACUCACAAUAACUCCAUCGUGAAAAAGGCUUAGCAGAGGCUGUACUUCCUUCGUCAACUGAACAAAUUCAGCCUGCCACAGGCACGUAUGACACAGUUUUACUCAGCUGUUGAGUCGGUUCUGUGCUCCUCUAUAACUGUCUGGUUUGAGUAUAAGAAGACUGCAGCGGACUGUUAGGACAGCAGAAAGGAUCAUUGGUGUCCACCUGCCCAGCCUUCAGGACUUGUACUACUCCAGAGUGAAGAAACACAGGCAGGUAACAUCAUCACAGACCCCUCUCACCCCGGACACAACCUGUUUGCACUUCUCCCUUCAGGCAGACACUACAGAUCUCUGUGCACUAGAACAUCUAGGCAUAAAAACAGUUUUUCCCCAUGCCAUCUCCAGCCUAAACAGCUAACAAAGGAAUUUUUACCUGUGUUCUGUAAUUCAUUCUCCAUCUCUAAUUAUUGCCUCUCUCUCAAGUACUAUUUAAAUACAUAUACAUAUUUUCUAUACAGCUGUAUAUAGAGUAAAUAAUGCACAAAUCUGUACAUAAAUCUUCUGUUCCAGAUUCUUCCACAUUAUUAUUUAUUGUUAAGUCUUAUUUAAAUGUUUCUGUUCUCAUGACAGAUAUGUAUGUAUAUACGUAUGUAUGUAUGCAUGUAUGUACCAAGAGCUUCUUAAA